GGGGCUGUAGUUCAGUUGGGAGAACGCCUCCCUUGCACGGAGGAAGUCGCAGGUUCGAGUCCUGUCAGCUCCA
rnacentral:tRNA from 1 species